GGGGUGAUUGAUGAAGAAAGGUGUGAUCUGUGUAGAGUUGGUCGGCAUCAGGGGGCGGGGGAAUGGGGAUAGAGGAGGGCUUGGAGGAGCUGCUAUGUCCGCCAUCUUGAAGAGUCGGUAAUGGUGGCGAAGAGUAGCUUUCCCGCCUGAGCGGGGGGGUUCACCGGGGGGAGGCGCAGUCGCCGAGGAAGGAAUCUACUUCAUCUUAACCCAAUUCCGUCUGCUGCUAAUACUGUGUAGAUUGAAAGAUUUUGCUGUUAUCAGAAUACCCGGUAAUGGGCAAGGAGCCCCAAAGGAUACUUUUUUUUUUCCUUUUUAAACUUUUCUGUUAGCAGCUCCAAGCUACACUGAAAUAGUGACUUCACCAAACAUCCUGCCCAAGAUAAAAGGGAUCACAAAUACAGCUAGGAGGUCUGUG